rnacentral:snoRNA from 13 species
AGCCAGUGAUGCAAUGAUUCUGCCAAAUGAAAAAGAAUGAUAUCACCUGCAAACCGUUCCAUCUAAACACUGAGGCU